GGAGUUUGGGCCGUGUCUCAGUCCCAAUGUGGCCGAUCACUCUCUCAAGUCGGCUACUGAUCGUUGCCUUGGUAGGCCGUUACCCUGCCAACUACCUAAUGCCACGCAUGCCCGUCCCGCACCACCGAAGCUUUAGUCCCCAGACCAUGCGGCCCGGGAACACCAUGGGAUAUUAGUGGAAGUUUCCCUCCGUUAUCCCCCUGUGCGGGGCAGGUUGCAUACGCGUUACGCACCCGUGCGCCGGUCGCCGCCAGGGUAUUGCUACCCCGCGCUGCCCCUCGACUUGCAUGUGUUAAGCCUGCCGCUAGCGUUCAUC
rnacentral:rRNA from 1 species